rnacentral:lncRNA from 1 species
GGAAAGAUAAAAGAAAGUUUUAUCCCACUCUUUUAACUUUCAUUACUACAUCUUUUCACUUAGCAUUCACUGCACAUAUUCCUUUAUAUACUUUUUUUCAUUUAUUUUAUCCCAUGAAUUACUCCAGCUGCUGCAUAGUUUUCAAUACUUAAAACUUUCUAGUGAUUAUGUAUCUUUUUUUAAAUUUUUUAUUGUUGGUUGUUCAAAACAUUACAUAGUUCUUGAUAUAUCAUAUUUCACACUUUGAGUCAAGUGGGUUAUGAACUCCCAUUUUUACCCCGAAUACAAAUUGCAGAAUCACAUCAGUUACACAUCCAUUGAUUUACAUAUUGCCAUACUAGUGUCUGUUGUAUUCUGCUGCCUUUCCUAUCCUCUACUAUCCCCCCUCCCCUCCCCUCCCCUUCCCUCUUCUCUCUCUACCCCCUCUACUGUCAUUCAUUUCUCCCCCUUGUAUUAUUUUCCCCUUUCCCCUCACUUCCUCUUGUAUGUAAUUUUGUAUAACCCUGAGGGUCUCCUUCCAUUUCCAUGCAAUUUCCCUUCUCUCUCCCUUUCCCUCCCACCUCUCAUCCCAGUUUAAUGUUAAUCUUCUUCUCAUGCUCUUCGUCCCUACUCUGUUCUUAGUUACUCUCCUUAUAUCAAAGAAGACAUUUGGCAUUUGUUUUUUAGGGAUUGGCUAGNUAAUGUUAGGUAACGUUUUAUUAGUAGCUUAUUCUUUGCAGAAUAAUGCCUGUGUUUUUUUCAAUUUCUUUAAGGUUGGAGAACCAUUGUAACUGUUUCUUCUCAGGUUUUGGUUAUAGCCAACUCUAAAUACUGUAAAAUGAAUUUUAUUUUCUACUAGAGGAGCCAUUUCUAUUGGUAUUGUAACAGGCAUGAGUUGUGCAUUUGGUUGGGAGAUUUUUCCCUAACAGGCAUGCCACUAUUCCUAGUAUAUCCACUUACAAGUUCUGACAAUAAAUCUUGUUGUGAAAAGUUACUGUGACUGGAAUUGUUCCUGAUGUAUACUGUUGAGUAUGUAAAUAUAGUAUUUCACCAAAGACUUAGUAACAUUUUACUGCAUGUCCCUUUGCAAAUAACUGUGUGCUCUUUUAAAAUUAGUCAUACCUUUUAUUUGCAGUUAGCUUUGCAUGGAUGGAAUUAAGCUUGAUUUGGGGCCUAUAUAAAAAGCACAUGGAAUGUAAGCAUAGUGUACCACAUCUGUUUUAAGUGCUACUUUGUAAGCAAAUUUUAUGAAUAGUAUCACAAGUAUUAACAUUCAUUUAUACAAUGCAUCUUUAGUGUACACAGCUAGGAAUAAACCCUAUUUAAUACUUUGAAAUUACCAAUACAUCCUUAUAAAACUAAUACAGAAAGUGGCUUUAAAAAAUUUGUGUGUGCAUGGGCUGCAGUUGUGGCUUAGCGGUAGAGCACAUGCCUAGCAUGUGUGAGGCACUGGGUUCGAUUCUCAGCACCACAUAAAAAUAAAAUAAAGGUUAUUGUGUCCACCUACAACUAAAAUAUUUUUAAAAGUAUGUGUACAGACAUGUAUAAAGGAGGAUGACCAUCUGCAAGCCAGAGAGAGAGGUUUCACACCUUAACUAGACACCAGAACCAGGAUAAAAUGCAUUUCUACUGUUUAAGCUACCCAGUCUGUGGUCGUUUGUUAUACAACCCUAACAAAGUAAUAGAGGCACUUAAUGAACUUUUUAUUGAUAGAAUAAAUGUAGAGAAUUUCCCCCAAAAAAGUGUGUGUGUGUGUGUGUGUGUGUGUGUGUGUUUGCAUAACAAUCCUUAAUCAUCUUGGCUGAGGUUCUUCUGUCUUGUAUGUUUUGUUUUGUUUUGUUAUGGAUUAUAAUUUCCUUUUAUUCAGUGAUGAGGAGAGGAAUGCUUGCUGAAAGAAAGUAAGCCACCAGACUGGGAUUAAUCACUGAUUAAUUUAUGUUUGCAUAAGUAUUCAAAAUGCUUUUAUAUUUGAAGCUAUUUUCUUAAAAUUAUUUCUAUUUUAUUAAGGGGAUUUUUUAAAAAGUUUUCUUAGUUGUAAAUGGAUACAGUGUCUUUUUAUGUACUUAUUUUGAUGUGGUGCCUCACAUGUGAGGCGAACACUCUACCACUUAGCUAGAGCCCCAGCCUGAGGGAAAUUAUUUCUAACAUAAAAUGGAGUCAUUUUUCUAGAAAUAGUUGAAACACAUGUAUGAAAAUAAUGUACAGAAAUUUUUAAAAAUAUAGAAAUAGGAAAAGAUACUGUUUCAAAGAUAUAUCCUAAUCCUUCAAAUUGAAAACCUGAAACAUUUGAAAAAGGGAAACAUUUCCCUUGAAGGUUGCUUUUUCAUAUUCUGUAGCUAGCUUUGCUUCCUGGUAUCUGCAAGUAUCGGGAAAAGGCAGAAUUUGGGCUUACAGAUUAAGGAAGUUAACUUAAGCUUCUUAAAAGACAUGCGUUAUAGACAUUUUUAGAAUUUUAAGUAAGACAUACCUUUUAGAUAUGCCCAUGAAUAUAUUCCAUGGCCCUUUUUUGGAAAAGGAACAACUUUGAGGGGAGCCCUUUAUUGGCUAGGAAACUGCGGAAGUACUUUGGGUGACACGGUAGCAGCAUGGGUUCUGAGAGCAAUCUUAGAUGAUGCAAGGUGAUUUUAAUACAAAAUGCUGAAAGGCAGUGCAAUGAUUUUCAUGGUGGAUUAUUUCACUUGUGAUUUUGCUUUCUUUUUUACCUUCCUCACUGGCCACUUGAGGCAUUUGGCAGUAGUUAUUUUGAGGUAAGAAAAGGGAAGGGUAAGGGCUUGGUUAUGGCUUAGUGGUAGAGCACUUGCCUAGCAUGUGUAAGCACUGAGUUCAAUUUUCAGCACUGCAUGUAAAUAAAUGAAUAAAAUAAAGGUCCAUCAACAUCUAAAAAACAUUUAAAAAAAGAAAAGGGAAGGGUUAAUGUAGGAGAAUACAUCUCUGGGGAAGGGAGUUAGUACAACUUUCAGACUAGGGUCCAAACUCUAAGAUAAAUAGAGGGCAUCGACAAAAUCAUGGAUACCGCUCUAUUCUGUAUCUUCAACCUCUCUUGUGUCCAUUCACUCUUAUUCGUUCCAAGUUUUAACCUUCAUCAUUUCUUCCCUGGACCAUUGUCACAUCAGCCACACAAUUGAUAGUCUUGCUUUUCACCAAAUUUCCCCCUUCAUUGCCAACAAAUUGAUGUUGUUGCUUUUGUUCUUCUUUUUCUUCUUUCUCCUCCUUCUCCUUCUUAUUUUUCUCCUCCCCUCCCCCUCCCCCUUCCCUUACCCCCUCCUCCUUCUUUUUGUAGUACUGGGGACUGAACCCAGGAGUGCUCUACCACUGAGCCACAUCCCUGGCCACAAAACCUUGGGACAAGGUUUUGCCAAGUUGCUGAGGUUGGCUUCAACCUUGGCAAUCCUCCGGCCUCAGCUUCCUGAGUGGCUAGAGUUACAGGCAUGCACUACUGCACUUGGCCCAGGUUGAUAAUCUUAAUAAAAUACAAUGAAGUGCAAUAAAUCACCAUUCUUCUAUGAAAAAAAUCUUCCAGUGGAUCCCCAUUACACUUCAGAAUAAAAUCCAAAUACCUUGGCCUGACUUCCAAGGCCCUUUGCAAUAUGGCCCUUGUUACAUUUCCUACAAUUUCUUUCCACAUUGUUCUCUUCUAAUGGGCGUCGGGAUCCAAUCACAAGGAGAAAUUAAUCCCUCUUCUUCAAACUCACUGUACCUUUUGCCAUUUCAUACCUUGUUCUCUCUGUCUGGGACAUACUAGUUAGCCUGACAUCUCAACUCUUCAUUCCACAAUUAUCAAAACUUACCUGGCUCCUCUUCCCCACCCCUACUCCAAACAGUAUAACAAUUCCUUCUGUGGUCCCUUAACACUUUCCCCGUACCUUAAAUAUAUAUCCAUAUUUAUGUGUGUGUGUAUAUAUAUCUGAACAUAUACACAUACACAUUUAGCAUGUUAUUUUUAUGUGUGUGUGAUGCUGAGGUUCAAACCCAGGUCCUCAUGCAUGCCAGGCAGGCAUUCUACCACUGAGCUACAUCCCCAGUUCCUAUGCAUUAGAUGGUGAAUGUUAGAAUUCACAUUGGCCUCAAUAAUGCAAACUUUUUAAGGGCAUAUAUUGGACCAUUGCUAUAUUUGUACCUCCAAUACCUAUGGGAGUGCCUAGCUUUUAGUAGAAACUCAAUAAAUGGAGAAAAAAAAAAUUGAGGCAAUAUAUAGGAGUUAAAGCUAUUCAGCUCCCUUCCCCUCUCAUUUCCACAACUGUUCACCAAAAGUGACCACUGUUAACAGUUUGAUGUAUUUAAUGUUAUUACAGCUAGCAUUUCCAUAUAGGGUUCAGGUUUAUGAUAUGAUAGGAUUAUAUUUUUAUACAAUGAGUGUAUACACCUCCUUUUUCUCUCUUUUGCUUAUCAAAGUAUACUUCAUAUACAGGAAUCCUAAUGACUUGAUGCAUUUUUAUAUUUAUAGAUUCAUGCAACCACCUCCCCAUGCCAAGAUAGAGAACAUUUCCAUCAACCCAGAACAUACCUCUUGAAUUUUCUAUAAUGUCUCCCUCCCCCUUGCACGUAAAUAUGGGUCUGACUUAUAUCAAUAUUAUAGUGAUGUGAUCAAAAUGUUUUUUCCCAUGGAUAGUCUGAAGGUGGAUUGCUGCUACAGCAAUCUAUCUAUUCAUGAUUAUUGAGCACCCCCUGUGCACCAGACUUUGUUAUAAAGACCUAAAGUGACACCAAGAAACAUUGGCCUAGGGGACCAGAAUAGUAAAAGAUAUGGCUCUAGUCAUCAGGGGUCUUGAGAAUAGUUGUUGGGAAAAGGUGAAUGGAGAAGGUAGGUGGGGGUAUGGGUGCUGUCAAGACUAGUGGACCCUUAACCAAAGAAUUGGAGAGGAGGGAGGGAGGGUACACAGGCCUCUGUGAGAAUUCAGUUCAUCUGGUCAAGAUUGUAACUAGUUCAGGCUAGACAGCAAAAGGACUUUGAUGCCUACAGGCUAGAGUGUGUGUAUUUAUUUUGAGAUGAAGAGUUAUCCAGUGGAUUUGAGGAAAAAUGAGGCAAGGUUGUUAUCUAUCUCUGUGCCUGUUCGAUUAUUAUUAUACAGCAUUCCUUGAAGUGGGCUGGGGAGAUGGGAAAUUGAAAGGUGGGGGAAACCCAGAAGUCAUAGUUGAAGUUGCCUAGUUUUGCAUUAAUAAGCUGGUUGCUUGAAAGUGUUUGGCCUUGGCAUGGGAUGGGAGUGGUGGCAGGAGGCAGGGAGCAGAAAAGGAGAGGGCAAAGUUUGUAUUUUCAGUUUGCCUUUGCAUCGAGAAGCUAAUUUGAAUGGCUUAGAACAUGGGGUUCUCAGUUUCAACAGAGUGACCAAAUCAGGCAGCUGCUUCAUGUCUCACGAAGAAAUUGCUUUCUGGGGAAAGGCCAGAUGGAAGGACCCUCUGUUUGGCGUAGAGGAUGUGAAGAAUGGAACCCAAAACUUUGUAAACAUGGCCAGACCACUUUCACCAAUAGAGUGUAAAUGAAUGAUCCAGGUAGAUCCUUGGUACAUGUACCGGGAGCUUAGAACACAUUAUCUCCUGAGUACAAGGUUGUAAAUGAUGAUUAACUGCCCAGAGUGUGGGGAGCCACAUUGAGUUACCACCCCUUCCAGUCCUGAUGCACCACGGGGAUCUGAAAGAUGACUGUAGUCUGGCGCGAUGGUGCCAUGAUUCGUGACUUGGUCUUUCCCCCUGCUCGGAUAGCAAGGCCAUCUUCUGAGUAGGCAUAACCCUGGGUUGAGCUACACUCAGCUAUUCUUUUGUAAUCCUACCACUUUGCCCUGUUUGGGAUAGAAUGUUCCAUGGAAACUCCCUUUGUGUGUCUCCUUCUCUUGCUCUGCCUUUGGGUGUGGCAUUCCUAGAUGUCAGUCAAUCUGCUGACAGCAGACAUCAUGAAGCUAGACUCAUUCCCCUUGAAACCUGACCCCUUGCCUCAUUUGAAUGGCUUCUCCCCAGUAAAAAAGUUCAGCACUGCUCUCUCACUCUCUCUUUUUUCCAUGGAUCCCUAAGGUCAGAGGAGCCAUCACAGGACCCAAAGAAAAAGUUAUUUUUCUGUCUCUGUGUGAUUAUUUUGUGCAGCCCAGUUCACCUGGAGUGACCCUGAGUGUUAAGUCCUGAGAUGGGAAACCAGAGCUUUCUUCCCCAGGAAAUCCUUUUUAACCCUUAAUGGUCAAUUAACCAUAGAACUAUUGUGUUUAUGGGUUGGGGGUACAGCUUACUCUUAGGGGUGUACUCAGUGGUAGAGCACUGGCCUAGCAUGCUCUGAGGCCCUGGGUUUGGUCUCCAGCAUUUGCAAAAAGCAAAAAGCAAAAACCAAAAUAUUGUGUGUAUUUUUGUUUCUGGUACUGAUAAAUGGGUUUGGGUUUCCAACUUGAUUUAUUAAAAGCACAUCCUCCCAGCUUCUUCCUCACAACUUCCAGCAGAGACAGUGAGGGGCUGAGAUGGCAGAGGAGGUUGGCAUGGCUCUUCCAAUAUGGCAGUUUUUCAUCUAUGUAGAUUGAUUUUUAUCUACACUUUUAAGCACAGUAUCUAUGAGCUAUGUGUGAACUUGAAAAGGUUGCUAGUCUGUAAGUGGAUGCCCUACCAAAUAAUGUAAAAUUUAAUAUUUCGAAUAUAUUGAGCUAAAUAAAUUAUGUUUUUUUUUUUUAGUUUGGUACCAGGGAUUGAACCCAGGGGUGCUUAACUACUGAGCCACAUCCCAAGCCAUUUUUUUAUAUUUUAUUUGGAGACAGGGUCUCACUAAGUUGCUUAGGGCCUCACUAAGUUGCUGAGGCUGGCUUUGAACUCCUGAUCCUCCUGCUUCCACCUCCCAAGCCAUUAGGAUUAUGGGCAUGUGCCACUGUGCCUGGCAAUAAAUUAGGUUAUUAACAUUGCUUGUUUCUUUUGCUUUUUUUUUUUUUUUUUGAUCCAGGUCUCCCUCUGUUGCCCAGGCUGGCCAUGAUCUCCUGAGUUCAAGAAAACCUCUCACCUCAGUGGCUCAAGUAGCUGGGAUGAUAGGCACGCUCCAGCAUGCACACUUUUUACUGUUUUAAUGUGAUUGCAUGAAAAUAUAAAAUUACAUACAUGGCUUGCACUGUAUUUCUGUUAGACAGCAAUGUUGGUCUAUAUUCUUUCAGAAGGUAUUUUCUGAUAUUCAUGCCCUAGAAUUUGUUUCUGAGGGAGGAUCCUUUUGAAGUUCUGUUUAAAAUGAACAAUACCAUAAAGGACUCAUUUAUGCACUAAAGGUUAUCAUACAGUUCAGAGUUAAAGGCUUGAUAACCCUUUGCCCUGGGGCAGAAUAUGAAAGCAUCCUAUUCUUAUUUGUAUUGAAAGCCAGUUUGUUGCUUAGACUUUUGGAUCCAGUUGCUGAUCCAACUGGUUGAGUUAGAAGUCCCCCCACCUCUGGGUUAAAUAUGACAAGAGUAUAUAUGUGAACUAAUCUAACUGAGGUAAUUAAGAAUUCUGUUCAUAAAACAUGGUCAUUGGUGGCAGUACAUUUUUCCAGCUUUGGGUGUUACUAGAAAUAUGUAACAUGUCCCUUUUAGAUUUACUUAGCUACCUUGCCCAAGAAUUCUCCAGAACAACCUUUUUUCAGGAAAAGUAGGAUAAAUAAUAAAUUCUCCAGUUUGGCAUAAUGUUAACCCCAGGAAACAAAGAGGAGUUUGUAUCAUUGUUCUUACUGCAGGCUUUUUUGAUGUUCCUAGCAGAGCCCUCUUUGUCUUAUCACAGGAAGUCAUCAGUAGCAUUAAAAUGACGGGGAGGUCCAGUGGACAGGAAGGCUCCCAGGAUUCUUACUGCUGGUGUUAGUCAACUUCCUUGUGGGAUUUCCAGGAGUGUGUCUUUGUAUUUUUUUAUUACUAUAAUUGCUCCUAUGUAAGGAAUGACUAAUUGUGAAGCUGGAUGGAAAUACAGAUAGGGUAAUAAAUAGUCACAUAAGAGGUGAGAGAGGUCAGCGCUGUAGCUCAGUGGGAGAGAGUUUGUCAGGCAUUCCUAAGGUGCUAGGCUCAAUGCCCAGUGCCAAAGAGGUGGGGCCAUUUUAUAGUCCUAGUUUUGCAUCCUUCUAAGUCCUAUCUUGGAGUCAAAGGUGUUAUCUGACUUUUAUAGCAUACCCUGUAUUUCAGAUAUGAGAUAACUUGUAUCUGCUUCCUUGUAAUCAUGAAUGAUCAUAUAAUUGGCUUCUAAUAAUAACAGCUGACAUUUAUUGAUAAAUGUUUAUGUACAGGGCAGUGUGCCAAUGAACAUAAAGUAUUAUUUAUUUUAUCUUCCCCAUCAGCUUAUGUUGUUAUAGGUACUAUUAUUAUCACCAUUUAAUUGACAAGGAAGAGGUUUUAUCUGGGGCUUGGACCUAUCCCAAAGACUUAAGUAAUUAACCACUUCACUUUUUCUAUAAAUUGUGAAAGGACAUUUGUUUUGAUAUCUUCUCCCAGGUAUUUUUUAUUACCAUAUGUCCUGAAACCAUCACUUUUCAGAGUCAUCAUGCUAUUAUUUAUAGCUGCAUUUAAUAUAACUGUGUUUGGUAAUAUAGCAAGCAUUCCAUGGAGAAAAAUUAUUAGUACCAGCAUUAUUUUUACUAUUUCUCUGGCUAUUUCUGGGUGAAUAUCAUUGUGCCUUUAUUUGCAAAACACUUCUGCAUUUUGGUGGGGGGAUACUGGGAAUUGAACCCAGAAGCACUCUACCACUGAGCUACAUCCCCAACCCUUUUUACUUAAUAUAUAUAUAUAUAUAUAUAUAUAUAUAUAUAUAUAUAUAUAUAUACACACACACACACACAAUACAUUUAUUUUAUUUUUAUGUGGUGCUAAGAAUCGAACUCAGUGUGUCAUGAGUACUCUACCACUGAGCCAAAGCCACAGCCACCCUUUUUACCUUUUAUUCCGAUACAGGGCCAUGCUGAGUUGCUGAGGCUACCUUGAACUUGCAAUCCUCCUGCCUCAGCCUCCUAAGCAGCUGGGAUUAUAGCUGACAUCACCAUGCCCUGCUACACUUCUGCCUUUGAUGUCCCAUAGUUAUGCCCUUACUGGGAGUUGUUGAUAUUCUGAGUUGAUGGAGUUUCAGAUUGAGUGUAUAUGUUGGCAAAAGUUGGGGUGACCUGGUGACUGGGCUGAGUGGGCCCUAUAGGAAGAGUGGUACGCUUCUAAAAGUAACUGGGUAGUCCUUGACUAUCUUGUAGCAUCAAAAAUUGAAAUGUCAUUCCCAUUUUACUAAUCUCCUGAUAAAUUUUUUUUUCUGUGUGGAAAAGACAGGUCUAUACACUCCUCAGUAGCUAUUUAAGCUUAUUUUAACUCACAGGCUGUGGCUGAGGCAGGCAUUUCUUUUAAGGCCUGGAUGUACCAUACUGUGUCUUAGAGUUUUAUAUGCCUCAUUUUCUGGUGUGGUUCUCAUUUUGCCAGUAUCUCCCACCGUCUCCUCCAGCAAAAUCUGUCAUAGCUAGAUGGCUUUCCACUCUACCGUUUAGUUAGAUGGCCUACAGUAGAGAGGUGGAUUCAGAAAAGAAACAUAGAUGCUGUCAACUCAACACUGGGGUCCUACCUAGGGAAAUAUUACAUGAAGGCUUUUGGUGUGAUGUGUAACACGUUUGUAGAAAAAGUAGAGUUCUGUAUCCCAAGCCAUAUUCACUUGAUGAUACUAUUCAUUGACACCUGUUGCUCUUGUCAUUGCUUAGAUUUUCCCCUUUAGUUUGAAUAGUUCAGUGAACUAAAUAACAAGAGCCAAGCUCUGGAUUUGAAUGUUAUAGAACCAAAGCCUCCAAACAUUAUUGUUUUUGUUUGUACAACUGAGGAAUAGUCCCAUUGAGAAAAGUAAAUAUGAUUUAUUAAGGUCUUAGGGUUUACUGUAGGGCUUCUUGGGCAAAUUUACUAAUGUUUCUUCCACUUAUUCUUGACUGCAUUUGAAAAUAGCUACCCCUUCCUUCCAGCAACUUGUUACCUCCUUUAUUCUGUUUCCCCACCUCUCCCUUUUUAUUCUUGCCCCAUCUUCUAAAGUAUUUCCCCUGAUAAGUGCACCCCACCCUACUCAUAGUUUCAAAUAUUUCAUCUACACUGAUGCCUCAACAUUUUUAACUUUUCACCCAGGUUUCUCAACUGACUCUAGGUCAAUCCCCCUGGCUAUCUGUCCUACCAUCAGCUCACAGUUAGACAUCCUAUGUCUGUAAUAUUACCAUCUCUUCUACAUCCCCAACUUUUAGUCACUCAGGAUUAAAAGCAAAGUCAUUAUUUAGCUUUGAUUCUUUCCUUGCAUCUUCUUCUAAGGACCAUCUCUCUUCCCUGUGAAAUGUCUCCUACACUCAUUCAACUCAAUUUCUACUGCCAUUACUUUAAUCCAGGUCCUCAUGUUUUAAUGCUUUGGCCACUCUAUCAACCUUCUAACAGAUCUCCCAAGUAUUCCCCAAACUCCUACUCUCCACUCACACCAACUGACACCAACUGCUCACUUUCCACAAAAGCUGGUUCCAUCAUAUCACCCUCCUCACAAAUCUUCAAAGACUCCCCUUGCCAAUAGGGUCAAGUCUAAAUUGCUCAGCUUGGCAUUCAGAGCUUUGGAACUGCUCCAUGUGUUUGUAUAAACUUAUUCCCAUCAUUUAUGUACCUACACUUUAGACAGACCUGUCUUUUCUACCUGUGAGUGUGCCUCCCCACUCUUGAUGACAGCCCUUAGAACAAAGGAAAAAGAGAUCUAGAGCCAGGAGUUGAAGGCCUGGGUUAGGAAAGGAAGUGAACUCACAGCAUCCCAUUAAGGCUGUGACUUGAGGGGGAAGCUGUGACAGAAGGUGCUCUAAAAGUGCCAUUAUAAUGAUGAGAAGUUGCAGAAGGAAUGGGGGAGGGAGCUGGAGUAUGAACUUUAUUGGUUGAUUAGCCUGAAUUAGACAAACAGGGUUUCAUUUAAAUUGGCCUGAAGUUUCUUGGAGGCACUGCUAUUUAAUCCCAUCUCUCUUUGAAUUUCUGUCUCCUAGGAAGACAGGCCACAGAAGUAGGCAGCUGACUAUAGGAUUCUAGGGAAUAUCCAGCAUUUAAUACAGAUUUGGCACUGAAAAGUUAGGGCUCCUUUCUGUAUCUAUCUUUUUUUUCUUUCCUCCCUCCCUGCCUCCCUUCCUUCUUUAGAAUUCAGGGGCAUUUAACCACUGAACCACAUCCCCUUCCUGUAUUCUUUCUUAAAUUAGAAUGCUGGUGAUGUACAGAGGAAAAUUUCCAUUUUUCUUGAAAUCUCACACAGAUGCAUAGACAUCAAAAACUCCACUUCAUAGUGAUGCUUUUGAGCUGUAUGUUAGAGGCAGAUUUAGACCAUUGCUGGGUACUUUUAAUAAGUGGCCAUAGUAACCCUUUCAGGUAGAUCACACCAUCCACUGCCAUGUCAUAUGGCAAGCUGUCUUGCUUUGGCAGCUCUGUAGAGAGUGCUAGACUGGAAGGCAGUACAAUUAUACACAUGACCUCAGGCAAGUCACUUAACCUUUUAUGGUGUCAGUUUCCUCAUCUGUUAAAUGAAAGGAUUAGACUGGAUUAUUUCGAUUAUUUCCUUUUUUCCAGUACAGGACCUUUCCAGUGGUCCUGUACUGGAAAAAAGUAUAGGAGAGAUUGUAUAACUGAAAGGCAGGAAGUGGAAUAAUUGAGGAUUAGAAUUCAGGGUAAUUUCAAAAUUACUUUAAACUUCAAAAAACAGUUCCUAGAUGUGCUUAAUGUGCAUAUCACACACUUAGCAGUUAAAUGUGUAAUUGUCACCCUGUCUUAACAAUGUUGUUUCCACUAACAAAUGUUAGGUACAGAGUCCUACUGAUGAUUACUUUGAAGUAAUGGACAGAGUGACUAAUUUUGUUUUUCUGUUGAGAUUUUCAGAAAUUAACGUAUUCCUUUUGUCAUGUAAUAAACAGCUCAUAAAAUGUUUUGAGACUUUAAAAAAAUAAUUAGUUGGGCUGGAGCUGGGGCUGUGGCUCAGCAAUAAUGCACUUGCCUGGCAUGUAUGAGGCACUAGGUUCAAUUCUCAGCACCACAUAUAAAUAAAUGAAGUAAACAUCUUCAACAACUAAAAAAAAUUAGUCUAGGGGAAAGAGAUACUGUCUAAUCUUUAGAAAUUCCAUAAGUGGUCAUUCUGCUACUUCUUAUUUUCAACUCUUUUUUCAGUGUUUAGUUGGCUUUCUUCUCCCUAUGCUUUUUUUUUUCUCCAAGCCCACCUUUGUUAAUUUUUAUUUUGCCAUGUCAUAUGGCAAGCUGUCCUACUUUGGCAGCUCUGUAGAGAGUGCUAGACUGGAAGGUAUAAAAAGAAAAAAAAGUAUAAAGACUUUUAUUAAAAGUCUCAUAUUAGAAGGCAAAUAUUAAGCAAAUGUGCAUAUAAUCUGCACAGUACCAUUUUUUUCCUGAUAGUAGCUACAACUGAAACAGUCUGGUGUGGAAAAUGAACCCCCUCCUCACACACACAGUGAUUAAACCAGGAUCUCAAACAUGCUGGGCAAACACUCUACCACUGAGCUACAUCCCCCACCCCAGGGUAAAGGAAACUUAACAAUUAUAUCCUACCAAGCUUUGUAUUCUAUGACAUUUCUGCUGCAACAGCACUGCAAUUGACUCUUGCACAGAGGAGAAAAGUUUCUAAAACCUAUUGGUUUCUACAUGUUAACAUCCACUACUGAAAAUCAAAUUUCUUUUCAUCUUACCAUAUUUUCCAGUGAACUUUUUUUUUUUUUGCUGGACUGGGAAUGGAACCCAAGGCCUUGCAUUUAUUAGACAAGUGCUCUACCACUGAGCUGCACCCCCAGUCCUCCAGUAAACUCUGGAGAGUUGUGCUGCUUCCUACUUUUAUUCAAAUUCCUAGGGUAGGAAUUGGAAAACUUCACAAAAGUAUUUUGAAAAUUUGCUAUAUUAAUCUUUAUGAUCAUUCAGCCACUGAAAACAUUCAUAGGUAUUAUAUAGACAAUGUGUGAUGAUGAACUGUGUCCAUGGAAUCAAAAUGUGCAUCAUUUCUUUGCCAGGUUCACUUAAAAUAUGUGUUCCUAUGAGCCUUUUUAAAAAAUCUUUUUGUAGUUGUGUAUGGACAGAAUGCCUUUAUUUUAUUUGUUUAUUUUUCCAUGGUGCUGAGGAUUGGACCCACUGCCUCACACAUGCUAGGCAAGCACUCUGUCACUGAGCUAGAGCCCCACCCCCCUUAUGAGUCUUUAAUCAUUUGCUGAAAAACAAUUCCUAGGUCCUAGACUGUCAAACAAGUUUCUGUUAUAUAUUAGAUAACUUCUUAAGAAUUUUUUUAAGUAGAAGACUCAAGUAAGGUAGACUUCUUUUAUGUAAUCUUGAUUGAUAAUAUUUCCUGAAGCAUGUGAACAGAAAUUGGUAGAUUGAACCCCAGAAUGAUAGCAUUUAGAGCUCACUGGGAGAAAACUCAUUUAAUCAAGUAAAAUGGACUUUGCACGUUUUAGCAAGAUCCAGACACCAAGAAGGGCCCAUGGGGAGUGACUUUGACAAAAGGGAAUCCAAGAGAACUGGAUAGUUUUAAAACAAGAAUUUUAUAAGAAGAAACUAUACUAGUACAUAUAAAUUAAAGAAUAGUGACAUGCCUUCUGUGCCUAAAAAUGUUAUCAGUACAUUGAGAUACUUGAUCAGUACUUGAGUCAAGUAAGAAAACCACAAAAAAUGGAAAAUCCAAUCAGGCCAAAUUACUAGAGUAUUAAGGGGAAAAACUAUGUCAGACAGGGUCAGAAAAUAUAAAAAGGGAGUUUGAAAAGGAGGUGCAAAAAGAAAGAUAAGUCUAUUCUUGUAAUGGUAAAGCUUCUUCCUAACAUGUUCUUCAUGAUUUUAAUAACCUCCUUUAAAGGUGUAAGCAUAUUUUGAAAAGAUUUUUUAACUUUUUAAGGUGAUUCAGCUCUCAGUGUUCUAUUAAGAGGGCAGGUAAACCUUGUCUUGUAUCUAUCACAAUUGGAAUCCAUUUUAAUUGCAAGAAGAAAAUCCUUGCCAUAGAAAAGUUUUUUUAUAAUAAAGAAAUUUAUACUUUUAUGGAAGGCCAUAUUUCAAUGUUAAAACUCUUAAAGUAUUAUUUUUUAUAAUGUCAAAGGUAUGAUUAGUAGAACAUUAAUGCAAUUAUACAUCUGAAGUAAUCUGCAUUGCUAAAUUUAUUGUGAGUAUUACUGAAUGAUUCUAUAUGUCACAGAGUGCAUUUUAAAAUCAUUGAUCCUUCAAUUUCUACAUGGAAUCAAUUAUUUGAAGUUCAAAAUAAAAACACAACAAAAGUAAAGAAAGUUUCACCUCUUGAUCUUUUCUAAGCUUCUCUGAAAUGCACAUGUCUUUUGUGUAAGUAUGACAAUGUUUAAAAAGUUGUUUGUUAUCUUAAUGCCAUAGAAAAGUUUUAACUUGCAUAAAUGUUCAGUAGAAGGCUAAGGGCAAAGAUAAAGAGAAAAGUCAUGUGUCUCCUUGGGAGCCAGUUGAUUGGAAAAGCAGGACUUCUUAUUUUUCACUUCAUUCCAUUUUACUAGUCAGUUUAACAACACAGGAACAGUUUGUAAUGACAAAGAUGUUAGAAUGUUAAAUUGAAGAAGAAAGGUAAGAUACACUGUUAAAAUUGAUUUUUUCCAGUUGUCUUUGUUGUUGCAGAGCAAGUUUCCCCAAACUUAUAGAGAGAAAAUGAAAAAAGGAAAAUAGUUUAUCUUUCACCAAGAUAAUUAAUGGCCCAGCUAAAUUUAGACUCUCCAGCUUUAACUUGUGACAUCUGGAAAAACAAUCCAGUCUGUUAUUCCUCUAGUUUAUAACCAUCUAGUAAGAAGCCCAAAGUCCAGAAUAGCUCUCAAGGUGACCUUAUGAAGGGCAAAUAUUAUCAGGCUGAUUUUAUCUCCCUUAAUAAAAGAGGUCUGUUGAGAAGGGAAAGUUACAUAUAUUACCUGUGCAUGUCAGUGACACCUGUUAUUCCUUUAUCACAAAGGGCUUUCUGACAAGCUGGGAAGACUUGGGCUGGAUUGUCCCACUCUUCAGGGGAACAUCCAAAUAGGCUGAGGGGCAAGUGUGCCUCAAGUGGUCUGUGUAGUGGCUCAGCAUCAAGUUGGGGGCACAGCAAGUGGUGCCUUCCAGGGAGUUCUCUCCCUGUUGUAAUGUACAAGGAUACCAUUUUUGUAAAGAUCCACUUCCAGUCCCUUUAAAUAGCUACUACCCCAGAGAAUCUUAGCUAUUCAGUUAUUUUUUUUUAAUUUACAUUUUUGUAAGGAGGACUUUAAGUACAUUUUGUAAGGAGGACUUCUUGUGUGCAAAGUUAGGUGAAGCUGGCCUAAAUUUCUUUUAUCACUGGCCUAAAUUUCUUUUAUCAGUUAACUUGGAAGAGAAAUUAAUCAUAUGUUUAUCAAACUUUUGCAUUAUACUCAAGCAAUGUCAGCAGUAUUUUGUACCCCCCCCCAUUUCAAAUGACCUUUGGAGCAAGAGUGACAAUUUUCAGAAAGGGCUCUAACACCCCUCCUACAUCUUCUUCAAGGACAGUUGAUCUGCUUUUAUCUCUUUUACUUGCUUAUUGUUCCUGGCAAGAUUUUGAUGAAGGAAAGAGUUCCUCAUUUUUAAAAAGUAAAAAUAAAUAAAAAUCAAUGAAUCUGAGAAAUAGUCUGGCCAAAAUGGGAUGAAGUUCAAGAAGUCUUGUUUCGAAAAGUAGAAAUAUUGCAAAAAAAUUCAUCCCACCUUUGUAUACAUAUGAGAGUUCAGCUACCUAAUAGAUGAUGAUGGGAAGAUUCUUUACCAGUAUUCCAGCUAGUAAAUGUAAAAAUAUUUAUAGAAUUAGAACAUAACACUCUUACAACCCUUAAUGAAAUACCAAUGUACAUGAUCACCUUCAUUGAAUGCAGAUAUUUGACAUAAUAAGGCAUAUGGAAAAUUUUAUAAUCAAUUGAUCAGUCUCCAUAACACUUGAACCUAGUGAUCAGUCAAAAUGUCCCAAGAGGAAACAAAAUUGGACAUAUAAGCUUCCUGGUAAGACUACAGGAAUGAACAACACUUCAUUUCAGGUACUUUUACCAAAAAAAAAUCUGUAUUUAGUGUAGCCAAUUAAUCUAAUGCAGACUUAUCAGGGGAGAAGGGGUGGCUAAAGGAACAUGACACUAAGAUACAAUUUAGCAAAAUCCACAAUGCAGAACACACACGCAAAAGGUCCAUAUUCUUAAGCAAAUAACAUCAGAAGGAAUGAUGGCUAAUUUUGUGUGUCAACUUCACGGGGCCACGGCGUGCCCAGACAUUUGGUCGAUUGUUGUUUUGGAUUUUUCUGUAAGAUGUUUCUAGGUGAUAGUAAAUUUGAAUUCAUGAGUUGAGGAAAGCAGUUUGCCCUUCCAGAUGUGGAUAGGCAUAUCUAGUCAAUUAAAUACCUGAAUAGAACAAAAAGGCUGAAUGAGAGGGAACUUUCUGACUGAGAGUCUAUGUCAAGAUAUCAGUCUUUCCUGCCUUCAAUACUGAAUGAAAAAUUGGCAUUUGGACUGGAAUUUACCUCACGGAUUCUCCUGAUUCUGCAGCCUUCAGACUUGGACUCUUCAGUCUCCUAACCCAUAGGAUUUCUUUUGCUUAUAACUUGCUGACUGCAGAUCAUGUGAUUUCUCAGCUUUCAUAAUCACGUGAGCCAUUCUUCAUAUAAUACUCAAACUGCAGAAAAUCAAAGAUGAAAGGAUUUCAACGUCACCAGAGGGAAAACCCAUUACCUAUAGAGAAGCAAAAAUCCG